AUUUCAAGAUGACGAGGACGUUCGGGCUAUAACACUUAGAAUUUCAGCAGGAGGUCACAAGCUGGAAAACGACUCACAGAUUUAUAUUACCUCACUCAAUCACACAAAGCACCAACUAAACUCCGACGAAAUAAGCGA